UACGGGGGGGGCAAGCGUUGUUCGGAAUCACUGGGCGUAAAGGGUGCGUAGGCGGCACGGUAAGUCAGAGGUGAAAUCCCGGAGCUCAACUUCGGAAUUGCCUCCGAUACUGCCGUGCUUGAGGACUGGAGAGGAGAUUGGAAUUCACAGUGGAGCAGUGAAAUGCGUAGAUAUUGUGAGGAACACUAGUGGCGAAGGCGAAUCUCUGGACAGUUCCUGACGCUGAGGCACGAAGGCCAGGGGAGCAAACGGG
rnacentral:rRNA from 1 species